AGAGUUUGAUCAUGGCUCAGAUUGAACGCUGGCGGCAGGCCUAACACAUGCAAGUCGAGCGGAUGAAGAGAGCUUGCUCUCUGAUUCAGCGGCGGACGGGUGAGUAAUGCCUAGGAAUCUGCCUGGUAGUGGGGGACAACGUCUCGAAAGGGACGCUAAUACCGCAUACGUCCUACGGGAGAAAGCAGGGGACCUUCGGGCCUUGCGCUAUCAGAUGAGCCUAGGUCGGAUUAGCUAGUUGGUGAGGUAAUGGCUCACCAAGGCGACGAUCCGUAACUGGUCUGAGAGGAUGAUCAGUCACACUGGAACUGAGACACGGUCCAGACUCCUACGGGAGGCAGCAGUGGGGAAUAUUGGACAAUGGGCGAAAGCCUGAUCCAGCCAUGCCGCGUGUGUGAAGAAGGUCUUCGGAUUGUAAAGCACUUUAAGUUGGGAGGAAGGGCAGUAAAUUAAUACUUUGCUGUUUUGACGUUACCGACAGAAUAAGCACCGGCUAACUCUGUGCCAGCAGCCGCGGUAAUACA
rnacentral:rRNA from 1 species